GACGAACGCUGGCGGCGUGCUUAACACAUGCAAGUCGAACGGAAAGGCCCUGCUUUUGUGGGGUGCUCGAGUGGCGAACGGGUGAGUAACACGUGAGUAACCUGCCCUUGACUUUGGGAUAACUUCAGGAAACUGGGGCUAAUACCGGAUAGGAGCUCCUGCUGCAUGGUGGGGGUUGGAAAGUUUCGGCGGUUGGGGAUGGACUCGCGGCUUAUCAGCUUGUUGGUGGGGUAGUGGCUUACCAAGGCUUUGACGGGUAGCCGGCCUGAGAGGGUGACCGGCCACAUUGGGACUGAGAUACGGCCCAGAAUCCUACGGGAGGCAGCAGUGGGGAAUCUUGCACAAUGGGCCGAAGCCUGAUGCAGCAACGCCGCGUGCGGGAUGACGGCCUUCGGGUUGUAAACCGCUUUCGCCUGUGACGAAGCGUGAGUGACGGUAAUGGGUAAAGAAGCACCGGCUAACUACGUG
rnacentral:rRNA from 1 species